CACCCCGGCUCUGCUAGCUCGGCCGAGACCGGGAGCGCGGAGGGCGGAACAACGCAGCCCCGCGCGUCCUCCCGCCGACGUGCCCACGCAGCCAAUCGGUGGCCGCACAGACGUCUACGCGGAAGCGCAACCAUCUCUUCGGCGCAAGCGCUCUACGCGCGGGGAAGUGACGGCACGCUUCCGCCAGCCCCGCGGUAGAGUGAGAGGGAAGGGACAAUCUUGGUGGGAACGGCGACCCAAGCGCGAGGAGGUGCUGCGAAGAAUGAAGAACAGUGGCUGAGGUGAAAGUAGAGAUUCCCUGGUGGCAUGCAGUGCUGGAGACAGACAGAUCAUUCCGUCAUAGAAUGUUGGAAAAAUACCUAGCCUGGAGUCAAAGACAGAAGAGGAUCCUCUACGGUGUUUUCCACAGUGACUGUACCAAUUUACAAUCCCACCAACAGUGCACAAGAAUUCCCUUUUCUCCACAACCACGCCGGUAUUUGUUAUUUCUUCCCUUUUUGAUGAUGGCCAUGAAGAAUUUGUUUUUAUCCCAAGCGUGGAGGAAGCCACAGAAAGGAUUUUAGCAGGGAACACUUCACUUUUCAGGUUUGCAUCUUGACAAGAUCACCCUGGCUGCUAUUUGAAGGACUGGAUCACAGUGGGAGACUAGUUUUUAGAUAAGAUUUUUGUUUUCCUCUUUUUAUUGGCUGUGUUGGGUCUUUGUUACUGCACGGGCCUUCUCUAGUUGCGGGGAGAGGGGCGCUACUCUUCGCUGUGGUGUGCAGGCUUAUUGCAGUGGCGUCUCAUUGCGUAGCUCGGGCUCUAGGCGCGCGGGCCUCAGUAGUUGUGGCGCACGGGCUUCGUUGCUCUGUGGCACGUGGGAUCUUCCCGGACCAGGGCUGGAACCCAUGUCCCUUGCAUUGGCAGCCAGAUUCUUAACCACUGCACCACCAGGGAGGCCCCGGCAGACUAGUUUAAAGACUUAAAGUUACCCAGGUGAAAUUUGGUGGGGGCAGUGAAGAUGGAGAAAA